rnacentral:rRNA from 1 species
ACGGAAGGCAGCAGUAAGGAAUCUUGCACAAUGGGGGAAACCCUGAUGCAGCAACGCCGCGUGAUUGAUGAAGGCCUUCGGGUUGUAAAAAUCAAAACCUAGGGAAGAAGAAAGUGACGGUACCUAGGGUUAAGCCCCGGCUAACUACGUGCCAGCAGCCGCGGUAAUACGUAGGGGGCACGCGUUAUCCGGAAUUAUUGGGCGUAAAGAGUGCGUAGGUGGUUACCUAAGCGCAAGGUUUAAUCUUGAGGCUUAACCUCAUUCUGCCUUGCGAACUGGGCUACUUGAGUGCAGGAGGGGAAAGCGGAAUUCCUAGUGUAGCGGUGAAAUGCGUAGGUAUUAGGAAGAACACCGGUGGCGAAGGCGGCUUUCUGGACUGUAACUGACACUGAGGCACGAAAGCGUGGGGAGCAAACAGGAUUAGAUACCCUGGUA